AUUGAACGCUGGCGGCAGGCCUAACACAUGCAAGUCGAGCGAGCGGCGGACGGGUGAGUAAUGUCUGGGAAACUGCCUGAUGGAGGGGGAUAACUACUGGAAACGGUAGCCAAUACCGCAUACCAUCAGAUGUGCCCAGAUGGGAUUAGCUAGUAGGGUGGGUAACGGCGCACCUAGGAGACGAUCUCUAGCUGGUCUGAGAGGAUGACCAGCCACACCGGGACUGAGACACGGCCCGGACUCCUACGGGAGGCAGCCGUGGGGAAUAUUGCGCAAUGGGGGCAACCCUGACGCAGCCAUGCCGCGUGAAUGAAGAAGGCCUUCGGUUUGUAAAGUUCUUUCGGUGACGAGGCGUUAAUCACAGAAGAAGCACCGGCUAACUCCGUGCCAGCCGCCGCGGUAAUAC
rnacentral:rRNA from 1 species